rnacentral:rRNA from 1 species
UACGUAGGUCCCGAGCGUUGUCCGGAUUUAUUGGGCGUAAAGCGCUCGCAGGCGGUUUCUUAAGUCUGAUGUGAAAGCCCCCGGCUCAACCGGGGAGGGGCAUUGGAAACUGGGAGACUUGAGUGCAGAAGAGGAGAGUGGAAUUCCAUGUGUAGCGGUGAAAUGCGUAGAUAUAUGGAGGAACACCAGUGGCGAAGGCGGGUCUCUGGUCUGUAACUGACACUGAGGCUCGAAAGCGUGGGGAGCAAACAGG